rnacentral:rRNA from 1 species
GGACUACCAGGGUAUCUAAUCCCGUUUGCUCCCCUAGCUUUCGCGCCUCAGCGUCAAGAACAGGCCAGAAAGUCGCCUUCGCCACUGGUGUUCCUCCCGAUAUCUACGCAUUUCACCACUACACCGGGAAUUCCACUUCCCUCUCCUGUCUUCGAGCCGAGCAGUAUCGAAUGACCCUCCCCAGUUAAGCCGGGGGCUUUCACAUUCGACUGACUUGGCCGCCUGCGCGCUCUUUACGCCCAGUAAAUCCGGACAACGCUUGCCACCUACGUAUUACCGCGGCUGCUGGCAC